GCCGUGUUUCUUUGUAUAAAG
rnacentral:miRNA from 1 species